UACGGGGGGAGCAAGCGUUGUUCGGAUUUACUGGGCGUAAAGGGCGCGUAGGCGGUCAGCACAAGUCAGUUGUGAAAUCUCCGGGCUUAACUCGGAAAGGUCAACUGAUACUGUGCGACUAGAGUGCAGAAGGGGCAACUGGAAUUCUCGGUGUAGCGGUGAAAUGCGUAGAUAUCGAGAGGAACACCUGCGGCGAAGGCGGGUUGCUGGGCCGACACGUGACGCUGAGGCGCGAAAGCCAGGGGAGCGAACGGG
rnacentral:rRNA from 1 species